CCUACGGGAGGCAGCAGUGAGGAAUAUUGGUCAAUGGACGAGAGUCUGAACCAGCCAAGUAGCGUGAAGGAUGACUGCCCUAUGGGUUGUAAACCUCUUUUAUAAAGGAAUAAAACGAGGCACGUGUGCCUUUUUGCAUGUACUUUAUGAAUAAGGAUCGGCUAACUCCGUGCCAGCAGCCGCGGUAAUACGGAGGAUCCGAGCGUUAUCCGGAUUUAUUGGGUUUAAAGGGAGCGUAGAUGGGUUGUUAAGUCAGUUGUGAAAGUUUGCGGCUCAACCGUAAAAUAGCAAUUGAUACUGGCAGUCUUGAGUACAGUUGAGGUAGGCGGAAUUCGUGGUGUAGCGGUGAAAUGCUUAGAUAUCACGAAGAACCCCGAUUGCGAAGGCAGCAUACUAAACUGUAACUGACAUUGAUGCACGAAAGUGUGGGUAUCAAACAGGAUUAGAUACCCCUGUAGUC
rnacentral:rRNA from 1 species